rnacentral:rRNA from 1 species
CGGGUGUAGCAAUACAUCAGUGGCGAACGGGUGAGUAAUGAAUCGCUAACGUGCCCCGGACUCUGGGAUAGCCAUCCGAAAGGAUGGGUAAUACCAGAUGACAUAUCCGCACCGCAUGGUGUGGAUCUCAAAGGUCCGCCGGUCUGGGAGCGGGCGAUUUCGUAUCAGCUAGUUGGUGCGGGUAACGGCCCACCAAGGCGACGACGCGUAGCCGGACUGAGAGGUUGGCCGGCCACAUCGGGACUGAGACACUGCCCGGACUCCUACGGGGGGCUGCAGUAACGAAUCUUCCCCAAUGCACGAAAGUGUGAGGGAGCGACGCCGCGUGUGGGACGAAGUCCUUCGGGAUGUAAACCACUGUCAGGGGAUACCAAGUUCUGAGGAUCCCCAGAGGAAGAGGCGGCUAACUCUGUGCCAGCAGCCGCGGUAAGACAGAGGCCUCAAGCGUUAGGCGGAAUCACUGGGCUUAAAGCGUGUGUAGGCGGAUCGUUAAGUACCUUGUGAAAUCCCACGGCUCACCCGUGGGACUGCUGGGUAUACUGGCGAUCUUGGGCCCAACUAGGGGCAACUGGAACAAGCGGUGGAGCGGUGAAAUGCGUAGAUAUCGCUUGGAACGCCAACGGUGAAAACAGGUUGCUGGGUUGUG